UAAGUUUCCACUAUUGAUUGUUCAUAAUUAUUUCCCAUUCAUAAACUGUCACAAUGUCAAGUUGUCGUUAUAUACAUGUACGUUGAACGAUUUGAUACGAACAAUAUGGAAAAAAUGUUGAUGCAAGUGUCGCCAAGUUCCUUGACAACAGUCGCUGUUGCUAAUAGUGCGGUGCGAACAGAAAGUAUAUCUAUUUUGAAAAAAUGUAGCUUCUGCUCUCAAAAGACAAGUGAUAAUAAAGUAACACGAAGGUCAAUUGUGAUCAAUGACUUUUAUAAAUGGUAGUAACUAUGGACAAAUUACUUUCAAAGAAGUAUGAGAAACUACUAACAGUAUCAAGGAGAUGCCGGCGAGAGUACCUUUUACAAAUUGUAGUAACUACUAAUACUUGACAAAAUUUAGUAUCCAAAUUUGUUGCACAAACAUAGAUAAAUAUCAUAUAGAGCAUACAGCCCACAGUACAUAGCGAAAUUUAUUCAGCUUCUAAAGGAUUGUAACUGCAAUGGGAAUGUCAAAUGCUGCAAUUUUCUUAGUAGACGUCGAUUCGGAGGAUAGGAUACGAAUGUAGUGGCUGUUUGUAUUCAAAAUAUGAGAAUACUUACCAAGUUUUGCAUGCGGACUUUUAGUAAACGAUAACUAAAUGAAUAAUAAUGCAGGACUAUUUUAUUUUAUAGACUCUACUGCGUAUAAAUGUUUGUCUAUCUUGAUAAAUUAGAAAAACUAAUGUAUCAAAAUUAUUUUAUUUGAAGAAAAGGUAGAAAGAGCGUAAGAGUGUAAGAAUUUUAUUCGAAAUACAUUCAGAAACGUUAUAUUGAUACAUUGUCGAUGAUACUUAUUAACUGUGAUCAGGUAGUUUGUUGUUUCCGUUUGAAACGUUAGUAUUACUGUAAAUUUUGAAUAUAUUCCUAUAUUUUCAA